GGAUCUGCGUAGUGGCAGUAUCAUAGCCAAUGAGGUUUAUCGGAGGCACGAUUAUUGCUAAUUGAAAAAGAAUGAAAUCCUAUCAUUUGUAGCAACAUGCAUGGAACUGGAAGUCUUUAGGUUACAUGAAAUAAGG
rfam:Callithrix jacchus chromosome 2, whole genome shotgun sequence